UGGGCUUGUAGCUCAGUUGGUUAGAGCACACGCUUGAUAAGCGUGGGGUCGGAGGUUCAAGUCCUCCCAGGCCCACCAA
rnacentral:tRNA from 1 species